CCCGGUGGUUUUUCCGGUGGGGCCACACCCGAUCCCAUUCCGAACUCGGUAGUUAAGCCCACCAGGGCCGAUGGUACUGAUCUCGCAAGGGAUCGGGAGAGUAGGUCGCUGCCGGGG
rnacentral:rRNA from 1 species